rnacentral:lncRNA from 1 species
CCACUGAAAGCAGGAUGUAAAAGGAGAAAUCAAAUCGCUUCCCAUUGCCGAGGAACCUUUCUGGGCGCUAGCCCACCUCGGCCGCUGGGUAUAAUAGACGGGCUCGAAUCCGGCUCAGAGCGUGGCGCGUCUCUACUGCUGAGCUCUUCCCUUCUCACUCUGCCUCUGAUGACAGGAACAGCUUUUCUCCACUGGAUCUUUCUGCCAUGAUGUUCGUGACUUGGAGCAGCCAAGCACAGACUGAACCUUGUGAACUAAAGAAGAAAAAACAUUAAAGUUUGUAUGGAACAACAAAGGACCCACAAAAGCAUAAGCAAUCUUGAGCAAGAACAAGCUGGACAUAUGUAAUACUUCACAACAUAAUUAGAAAUUUAUAGUAAUGAAAAUAAACCCAGGAGUCUGCACAUAUCAUGGAAGAUGGGAUUCAGAGAGUAAAGAAAGAAUCUGAGAAGGGAGACAGACCCACCCACUGACAUCAGCAGUCACCUGGCUUCUACCUCCAACAGCAAGUCAGCUAUACCAGCUCCAUAAUCCAAUCACCUUCCAAAUACAGGAGGCUUUGAGGUCCAUUUCAGAUCUAAACCAUCACUCCCUCUCUUUCAAAAAUUCAGUGAUAUCCAAGAAUUUGCCUUUAUUCACAAGUAGAUCUGUGGAUUGCAGCUUGAUAUCUUAUACUGUCUCCUGUGAAGAAGGGAUGAAAACAGAACCUGGUCCCUAAAAUAUUUCUACUCCCAAUGAGGACACUGCUAGCAGCCACUUGCCUCUUUAUUCUUCAGUGCCUUCAGAUAACUGUUUUUAACAUUUCAAGAAUUUUUUUACUGAUCUACAGAGGAGUCAUUUUAGUAAGCUCUUGAUCAUUCCCUGGAGACAUUUUAAAACUCUUCUGAACUUGCAUUUGAUGUCUAGUUUCUCCCAUAGGAACACUGAUAUUUGUCAAAGGAUAUAUUUUUGUUUGGAAAAUACAUCCUUAGGAAAAGACAGAUAUUUCUAUUUUGUGCCUUAGAAAAGCCUUUCUAUGUAUUUAAUCUUUCAGUAACUAUGGGUUGCAACUUAAUAUGCAUUAGAUAUUUUGCCAGAUCUGUGCAGAUAUGAUUGGGGGAAAGGGGUGGUACAGAAACAAAUUACAUGUAUAUUACAUUUUAAAGUAGUUUCC